CCUACGGGGGGCUGCAGUGGGGAAUAUUGCGUAAUGGGCGAAAGCCUGACGCAGCGACGCCGCGUGAGGGAUGAAGGUCUUCGGAUCGUAAACCUCUGUCAGCAGGGAAGAACGGUCACUGUGCUAAUCAGCAGUGACUUGACGGUACCUGCAAAGGAAGCACCGGCUAACUCCGUGCCAGCAGCCGCGGUAAUACGGAGGGUGCGAGCUUUAAGCGGAAUUACUGGGCGUAAAGCGCUCGUAGGCGGUAUGUCAAGUCAAGGGUGAAAUCCCCGCGCUCAACGUGGGAACUGCCUUUGAAACUGGCAAACUGGAGUGUGUGAGAGGAGAGUGGAAUUCCAGGUGUAGGAGUGAAAUCCGUAGAUAUCUGGAGGAACAUCAGUGGCGAAGGCGACUAUCUGGCACAUAACUGACGCUGAGGAGCGAAAGCGUGGGUAGCAAACAGGAUUAGAUACCCGAGUAGUC
rnacentral:rRNA from 1 species